CCGUUGGCCAGCUAAUUAGCGGUUGCCAGUGUCAUUUUUGUGAUGUUGCAGCUAGUUAUAUGAGCCCAGUUGCAUAGUCACAAAAGUGAUCAUUGGAAACUGUAUCUCCUCUUCCAGGCCC
rnacentral:pre_miRNA from 8 species